rnacentral:tRNA from 1 species
UGUGGCUCAGAGGUAGAGCAUUUGCCCAGCAUGCAAGAGGCACUGGGUUCAAUCCUCAGCA